AAAAAUACUCUAAUUCUGCAACUUACAUGCGUCAAACUCAAUCGCUCCAACGUGGAUUAGUGAUCUACUUAGAUGCUGCCACCUAAUAAAAAAGACACAUUAUAACUAUGACCUUUAACUUGCCACUACACAAGUAGGCCUUUUAACUAUACAAAAGCUGAACAAAAAAACACUUCAAUUUUAACUCUGACGCGCGUGGUUUUGAAUGUAUAAACACAUUUUUUCAGCUAGGAUUGAAGUGCUUUUUUGUUCAGAUUUUGUAAAGGGUUACCUGUGCACUGGACAGCUAAAUCGAUUCCUCUUGGCUUGAUUAAAAAAGGUCUUAGUUAUAAUUUGGUAUCAAGUUAAAAGUCCUGUUUAUAUAUUAUACCUUUUAGUUAUUUUAGUUAAAUAACUUAUAAAUAUAGCAAUAGAGGAAUAUCUUUUCAUUCUUUCUCAACGUGAUCAUCAUCAACCCCCACUUCAAGAACAAUCUACAAAAUGAAGAAUGUAUUUCCAAAAACUGAAGCAAAAGGAAAGUGUCCAAUCCCCGAAUCAUUAACCUUCCUCCCAGCUUUAAGACAUCAAAAUUUGGGGAGAUUGAUGGACAAAAGGAUUUUGUGAAACAUUUGGGACGACAUUGCAAUCAACCAAGGGAACUGAAGGAAAGAAAAAGGAAAACGUACCUAUAGUCAUGCCAGGGCCAAAGUAAAGUUUGAGAGGUCCAACCCACCAAUACUGUCAGCCUCAAUCCCGAGCUGACAUAUUAGAUCCAUAUAACCACUUGCAACAAGAUUUCUUUCCCCAAAAUCCAAGAAAUCCCAUUCCACUUCUUCAAUAUCCUUUGAACAAUGCACAAUUGUAUGUUCAUCCAUCUUCUUAUCUACAAUAGCAUGCACCUAUCCCUCAACAUCAUCCUUGAACCUCACAAAUUUACCAAGAAACCUCUAAAUUCAAGUUUUAUCCGAGGCCAGAGUUCGCAAAGAGGAGGAAGGAAAAAGAUAAUUUCACUCCUAUUGAGGGAUCCUAUGCUAGGUUAUUCCAGAGAUUGGUACAGCAGAGCAUGAUCACUUCUCUUCUUUGGUAUACUCCUGACCCACAUUCAAGAAGUUUUGAUCCUAAUGUACGAUGUGCAUAUCAUUCUGAUGUUCAGGGUCACAAUAUUGAAGAUUGUCGUGCUUUGAAAAGAGAAAUUGAAAAGAUGAUUCAAGAUAGAUCAAUUAUGGUGCAAAACAUUGACAGUGAGAAAAGCUCUAGUCUUGUUGAUAUGCAAACUAGUGUCUAAGAUAUCAGACUGAUCAAUUGAGAAGUCACCCCUCUAUAUACUAGGAAGAGGUCUGGUAGCUUGUUUUGUUUUAUUUUCUGUUGUCCGAAUUAUUUUAGGGUUGUAGUUUGGGAUCUAUCUUAUGUUUUCCUUUUGUUGUUUAUGUUCAAACCCUUUUAUCUUUUGUUUCAACUAAAUGAAGUGUCCCAUUUUUCUUUGUGUUUUAAAUAUGUGUUGUUUGUUUGUUUUCUUUACAUUAUAUUUUAUGUUGACUCUAGUGAUAUGACAUGCUAGUGAAAUUUUCAGCCAGAUCUUAAAAUCCAGUUUAAGCAUGAACAUUGAAUCAGAGGGUUAAAGUUAGAAAAAGAGAGCAUUUGAGAAAAUAGGUAGAGUGCUGAGACAUUUGGUGACAAGUUCAAGCCUUCUUUGAAAAUUAAGACAAUUAUUUUGAAAAUCACAAGAAUAAGUUGGUCAUCAAUUGAAAAACAUAGCUCAAUUAGAUCAACUAGCAGAUAUGUGAUCCCAAGGAAUAGAAAAAUCAGCUCUACGAAAGCAUGGGUCAGUCGAUGUGAGGGAUCUAUAAUAUAGGUGAAGUUGUAUGUUUGACAAGCCUAGAAGAAGUAGUGGAACGCAUGCUCAGUUAAAGGUAGUAUUGUGAAAGUGUCACAAAUGAUCUUCAUCUUUUGCUUUCAUAUUGCAUGAUGUGUACUGACAUUUUCAAGGAUUGAUAUGACGAAGACAUUUCAUUCUGCUAUCCAUACAUUGUGUCGUCCUUUGUGUACCCCAUUUGAGCCUAAGUGUUAUUUUCUUUCAUACACCUCUUUUGGAAUCACGAUAGAGUCAGCAAAGUUCAAAAGAAAAGUGUUAGAAAAAAAAUAGUGUCAGAAAAGUUUCAAAAAAAAAAGAGAAAAAAUGUGUCCCAAAAAAAAAAGAGGAGAAUGUCAAGAAAAAUAGAGUCAGAAAAAUCACAAAGUGAAAAAAAGUCAAUAAAAGAGAAAAACAAAGAAAUUAGAAUCAAGCAAAAAAAUAAGCUGCCAGAACUAUGCGUGACCUAAUUCUCCUCUUUCGGGGGUGAGAUACGUAGGUUGCCCUACUCCGGGCUCGGUUCAACCAAAUAAACAAUUUAGAAUUGCCCAGUCAUAAGAAAUUAGGACAUUAGUUAAUCCUCAUUGUUUGAGUCGAUUCCAAAAGUUGUAAGUCCUACCCCACUUCAAGUGUCGUUUGGGCCUCAUGCCAUCCUUUCUUUCUAACCCUAUCAAAAAGUCAAGUUACAACCAAAGAAAGACCUUCAGAUCAAUCUUUGAGAAUGUUAAGGCUAAGCAUGCAAUGCAUAUGAUGACGCAUUUUGGGAACUGUUCAUCUUCCUCAGCAUAGGGAAUUAAGAGAGAAAUAAAAAUGAGAGAGUCUUAUUGAAGAAAACCCUCAUGGGCACCAUAAGGCGAUGGUAAGUUGAGAGAGACAAAUGAGAGUCUUAUCGUUGAAAACCCUCACGGGUACCAUAAUACGACUGUAAUUUGAGAGAAAUAAAAAUAAGAGAGUCUCAAUGGUGAAAAACCCUCACAGGCACCAUAAGACAAUGGUGAACUGAUAAAAAGAAAUGAGAGAGGCUUAUUGGCGAAAACCCUUCAAGGCGCCACUAGCCGAAUGAGGUCUCCGAAUGCAAUUGACCUAAGAAAGUAACUCAGUUUCAGGGUCAUUAAAUCAACAACAAUUUGUGAGAGUUUUGGAUGGAAAGAUCAGGCAGUUUAAUCCGCUAUGCAUGACAUAAUCAUUAGAGUUGACUGUCAUUUUUAGAUGAAUUUUUUGUUUCUUUUUUUCAAAUGGGGAGAUUCAUUGUCUUUUCUUUCUUCUCUUUAUUUUUGUUUUAUCUUUCUCGAGUCAGUUAUCCAAAUAAAAAUUGUCAUUCUUUUUUUCCUUUUCUUAUCUUUGAGUCAAGUCUGUGUUAAAACAUGUGAGAAAAGAUUUUAAAAAUGACUACCAACUUCUUUAAUUGCACAAAACAAGACAAAAGCUAGCAUAUGAAAAAGACAUGAUUAUGAUCCGAAAAAAGGGCAUGUAGAAAGUUUUGUCAAUAGACAAGUCAGGAAACUCGACUUAAAAUGCCUUCGUCAUAUCAAUCCUUGAAAAUGUAAGUACAUAUCAUACAAUAUGAAAGUGAGAGAUGAAGAUCAAUUGUGAUAUUUUUUAAGCAUAAACUUUAACUGAGUCUGUGUGUCACUACUCUUGCACUUUGUUCAACAUAUCACUCCACUUUUGUUGUACAAUCCUCAUAUCGAAUGACUCAUGCUUUUGUAGAGUUGAUUUUUCUGUCCCUCGGUAUCACACACCCGCUAUUUGAUCUAAUUGAGCCAUGUUUUUCAAUUGAUGACCAAGUUAUUCUUGUGAUUCUCAAAAUAAUUGCCUUAAUUUUCAAAGAAGGCUCGAACUUGUCACCAAAUGUCUCAGCACACUACCUAUUUUCUCAGAUGCUCUCUUUUUCUAACUUUAACCCUCUGAUUCAAUGUUCAUGCUUACAUUGAAUUUUAAGAUCAGGCUGAAAAUUCCGCUAGCAUGUCAUAUCACUAGAAUUAACCUAAACUGUACUAUGUAAAGAAAACAAACAAACAACACAUUUUAAACACAAAGGAAAAAGGGACACUUCAUUUAAUUAAAAUAAAAGAUAGAAGGGUUUGAACAUAGCGACAAAUGGACAAAACAAGAUAGAUCUUGAACUACAACCCUGGAAUAAUUUGGAUAACAGAAAAUAAAACAAAACAAACUACCAGACCUCUUCCUAGUAGGGAGAUGGGUGACUUCUCAAUUGCUCAGCCUGACAUCUUAGCCACUGGUUUGUAUAGCAGCAUGACUAGAGUUUUCCUCACUAUCAAUGGUCGGCACCAUAAUCAAUUUGUCUUGAAUCAUAUUUUCAAUUUCUAUUUACAAAGCAUGACAAUCUUUAAUACUGUGAACCUGAACAUCAGAAUGAUAUGCAUAUCCUACAUUAGGAUCAAAACUUCUUGAAUUUGGGUCAAGAGUAUACCAAGGAAAGGAGUGAUCAUGCCUCGCUCUGCCAAUCUCUGAAAUAAAAUGACAUACGACACUCCAAUUAGUGUGAAACUAUCCCUCAAUUUCUGGCUCAUUUCAGUAUUUAACUUGGAUCGAACAUCGGGGCUAGAAGGGCUUUGGUUUGUUUGUGGAAUUGGAGGAUGACUUUAAAGAUUUGGUGCGCGCCAUUGUGGGUAAGGAGGUAGUUGAACAUAUGAUUGUGCACAAUAUACUAGAUAUGGAGGUCGAGAAACAGAGUAUAUUGGAUUUUGAGAGUGAUUAUGGAGAGCUUGGGUAUGAACUUGGGCUUGAGACUAACGGCAAUGACGAUGUCGUCUUCUUGGAAGUGCCCGUUCUCCAACUACAAUAGCAGUGUCGUCUUUCUCAUUCUUCUUCCCUCAAGGUUCUCUCAAUUGAUUGCAAUAUUGUCCCAAAUGUUUCACGAAUUUCUCAUGCCCAUCUUGCUCCUCCAAUUUCGACAUCUCAAAGAUUAGAGGAAGGUUAGCACUUAAAGGCAUGCCCCAGUCUUUGUAUGAAACAUCUUCUUUACCCGUAGAUCCUAGAGAAUUUUUCAUAGCAUUUUCUGCACUCUUCAUUUUUCCAACCAUUUUCUCCAACUCUUCUGGCACACUAGACUUCUUGUUAAGAAAUUUUGGUGGUUCAGUUAACUUAAAAGCAGGAUCAGGAGUAUAACAAUGAUCACCAAAAGUAUUGAAUAUAAGUUCACUAGCAGCAUGGGGACGCACAAUCGUUGGGCGAGCCAGUGUGGAAGUCCCAGUAGAGGAUUGAGCAAUAAGAUCACAGACAACAUGUGGUGUUGUGAAUGUAGCAGGCUUAUGCUGAGGAGCUAGAGGAAAAAUGGUAGUAGUAUUGAGCUGUUUUUGGCUUGGAAUGAAUUCUGAGUCAUGUUGCGGUGCAUCGACAACAGUAGAAACCUGGCUUUGAGAUUUUGGUGGAAAACUCGAGGUAUUUGUAGGAUCAAUAACGGGAAAUGGAGGAGGAGGCAACCCACUGGCCUAAGCUCGAUACAUUUCUGUCAUUUGUUGUCGUAGCCUCCUAAUCUCUUGCUUCAAACUCUCAUUUUCCUGAUUCUUUGUUUGAUCCAUGAUGUCACUUUCUAUAUCUUAGUUGGACACAACUAACCCUUUGGAUUUGGUGUGAUGUGAAGGACCAGCCAGAAUGCCACAAACCAACCACCUUAAACUGACUCAAUAAAAAAAACAAAUGUGUUGGAGUUCAACACUUCUUCAAAACCUCUUUUUCUUUCUUUUUUUAUUUUUUUUAUUUUUUUAAAAGAUCACCGAACCCAAGAAGGGCGCCUACGUAUUUCAAUCUCGAGAGAGAAGAAUCAGGUGUGCGUAGUUCGUGAAGUCUUGCCAAAAUGGCCAAUUGAUUCUUUUUCCUUUCUUUUUUCUUUUUCUUGAACUUUAAGAAAAACAAGAAAAUAAUAAUUUGUUAAAAUAAUUGACGAAAAUCUUUUUGCAUUUUUCAGAUUUAAACUUCCUAUACAAAAUGGAACCUAUGAUUACCAAAAAAAAAUCUUUUGAGGUUUUCAAUUUUGAAUUUCAUAGGAAAAUAAAGCUUGAAAAUAUUAAAGAAAAACCUUUUUGUAUUUUUCUUUUAGAGACGUAUAUGUCACCUACUCUAGAUGAACAGUUAAGAGAAUCUUUUUGAAUUUUUUAAAUUUCUGUACAAAAUGAAAUCUAUGAUUACCGAAGAAAAUAUUUUUGUAUUUUCUAUUUUGAAUUUCAUACGAAAAUUAAACUUGAACCUAUUAAAGGGAAAUAUUUUUUUGUUUUCUUUUAAAGAUGUACAUGAGACACCUACUCUAAAUGAAGAGUGAAGAAAAUCUUUCUGAAUUUUUUAAAUUCCUGUACAAAAUAAAAUGUAUGAUUACCGAAGAAAAUAUUUUUUGAAUUUUCGAUUUUGAAUUUCAUACGAAAAUGAAACUUGAACCUACUAAAGGAAAAUAUCUUUUUUGUUGUUGUUUUGUUUUAAAGAUGUACAUGACACACAAACUCUAAAUGAAGAGUGAAUAGUUUUUUUUUUUUUUUUUUUUUUUUUAAAAAGAUCCCCGAACCCACAAUAGGUUGCCUACGUAUCUCACUCCCCGACAAUUAACGAUUAACUAAUAAAUUGACCCUAACUUAAGAGACACAACCAAAAACAAACGAAUAAAAACUUUUUGGAUUUUCAACUAGACACUUCAACUAAGACUGACACCACCAAUUAUGAAGAAAAAUAUUUUUGGUAUUUUUGCUUUUGACAAAUAAGUAGAAAAGGCAAACAAAACCCUCUUUUUUUUCCUUUUUUUUUGUUGAACUUACGGUACUUUGAGAAGAUAAAUGCAAAACAUAAAAAAAAUCUUUUUGAGUUUUUGGAUCGUGAAGAACAAAAACCAUAAAGAACUCUAAAAUAAACUACGACACUCCUUUUGAUUCAUUCUUUUUGACUCACUUUUUCUAUUUUUUUCUUUUUUUUUCUUUUUCAUUUUUUGCCUACGCACCUUACUCAUAACAAAUAUUUUUUUUCCAAAUCAAUCCGUCAAAUAACCACGUUACCCUUAAAGAUGCAACAGCUAGCACGUAGGGAUGCUUUAGAGGUGAGUCUCCUACAAAGGGCCAUAUAGGUCCCACUAGGUCUCAGUAUGAAGCACAUAAGUAUGAUCUAAAGGCUGACCUACUUUGUGGUUCACUAACAAGGCUGUUCGGGGGAGCGUAUGGUCGAUAGUGGUUGUUUUGCUUUCCACCUAAUCCAUAACACCGACGGCUCCCCCCAAAAAAUAAGAGUGACUCAACUAGAGGUCGUGUACAACACGUGUACUACGGACUUGUUGCAGAAAGAAGGCCUGGGGGUAGACACAUGUUGCCAGUUAUAAAAGCGGUAACGUAUAGGAUAAAUACUAUACACAAAGAGCAUGAAAAUGCACAACAGUGAUAACAAUAACACAAACAAUAAUCACAACCAAUGUUUAUACACCCAUAAUGCCAAACAAAGCCAAUACGACUCCAAAAAUAAGACCGAAUUCUGAAAAGAUCCCCAGAAGAGUCGCCAGAGCUGUCACACCCCUUUUUCGUACUCCAAAAGAUUAAUUUUUAAGUUCAAAAGAAUUUUACUAUUAAGUGACAAAAAAUAAAAAUUCUCUUCCGAAAAGGAUUUUUUAUAAUUAAAUUCAGAGUCGCCACUUGGCAUAAUCCGGUGUGCCAAGUCACCUUUGGAAAAUUCUUUUCAAAAUGGUUUGACUCUUUAAAAGUGGUUUGCGAACAGAGAUUCUGGCUAAGAAAUUCUGUUGACCGAGGGGAAGGUGUUAGGCACCUCUUGAUCCCGUGGUUUGAACAUGGUCGCUUGGUGGAGCGUAUAGGCUAAUUUGACAUUUUGAAUGUAUAAACAACAGAAAAACACGUAGAACAAUCAAUCAAAACACACAAAGGCAAAACAUUCCAAAGUUUAGUAUCUAUUCCAAUUAUACAGUCCCGAAAUAGAAAAAUGCAAAAAUGUAAACCUACGCUAACCUAUAUUGAUCCUAAACUAUGCUCCAAAGCUGUACCCGAUGCCUCGAGCCUUGAUCACGAGCGUCCUUCAAGUACAAGAUACCUUGGGGCAUUCCCUGGAUAAAAUAAUACAAGUGCUUCGGGGCAUUCCCUGGUCAAAUGGUACAAUUAAGUCAAGCACGAUAAAUUAGAAAAUAUUCAACCAAUAUUCCAUAUUCAAACAUUCAACUAAAAUUCUUAUUCAUAUGAAUUUUUCCUAAUCGAACCUAUAUGCGCCUAUUCUUUUCAGCAUACCAUGAUACUAUCACAUCAGCGACAUUCACAUCUACUCCAAAAUAACCAACGACAGUAAAUCAGAACUAAACGAUAUUUAUUUUUUUCAAUUCCUACCAUUCAACCCUAAAUUCUUUUUACCACCAAAUUUCCACAAUUCAAGAUUACUAUUUCAACAAUUCACAACCAUUUCUUCAACGAAAUUAAGCAAAACAAAUCAAUAUCACCCAAUAUUCAAUCACGUCUCACACAAAUCAAUCACGUAUGAUGAAAUAAAAUAAAAAAAGAUAGAGUUGGACCUCAUGUGUCGAUUUCAAUAUAUAUCGAAGAAAACACCAUUCCCGGAAAGCCUCAAUUUGAACCUUGACCAACAAACCCGAACUCGAUAUCUCUUUUUUCUCUAUUUUUCACCAACCCAAAUCAAAAAUUGAGAAGAUAACAAAGACCCGAAAUUCGAACACCCAGCUACUGCUUCAUUCAUUUUUAAACAAUUCCCACCUGAUCAGGGACUGGACAGGUUGAGAACGGGAACGGGAGAGGGUUGUUUUGUUGUUAUUGUUUCGCCGGAGCUCUGGCAGCGAUAGGAAUAGGAGAAUCAACCUAGUUUCGAUGUUUUUUGGUGGGUUCUCACCGUAAUGGUUUGAUUCAACGUCUUUUUCCUCUCUCUCUUCAGUUUUUCAAUCACUCUCCGUCUCUCUCGAUCUCUCCUUUCACUCUCAAUCUCAGUUUCGAUCUCUCUCUAUAAUUAUUGUUCUUCAUCCAUGGUGGGUGUGGAGUGUGUAUGAGUGGAGAAGAAGAUUCGUGUGUGGAAGAGAAGAUGGAUAAUGAGUGUUUCUGUGUUUGCUGUGAGUAUGUAUUCGGUUAGAGAGAUGAAAAUUGUGUGAGAGUGUGUGCCUUCUCCCCCAAUUUUCCAGUGAACUUCCCCUUUUAAUGUAUUGUCCGUAUGUAUAUAUUAGGAUGGGUUAGUAGGGUAGGGUAGUGCGGUAUGGGUAGGGGUAGGGUAUUGGGUGAGGGGUGAGGUGUCCGAUAUUUAAUUGGAGAGGUUGUUAGGAUAGGAUCAAAACAAGAUAAAAUUUGUUAAGGGUUGUUAUUUUUGUCAUUUUAUGGAUGGAUAAUUACAUGGAUGAGAUAAGGUAAAAAUGGGUAAAACGAUAUUGGGGAGGGACGAAAUUACUUUCGAUGUUUUUUGGUGGGUUCUCACCGUAAUGGUUUGAUUCAACGUCUUUUUCCUCUCUCUCUUCAGUUUUUCAAUCACUCUCCGUCUCUCUCGAUCUCUCCUUUCACUCUCAAUCUCAGUUUCGAUCUCUCUCUAUAAUUAUUGUUCUUCAUCCAUGGUGGGUGUGGAGUGUGUAUGAGUGGAGAAGAAGAUUCGUGUGUGGAAGAGAAGAUGGAUAAUGAGUGUUUCUGUGUUUGCUGUGAGUAUGUAUUCGGUUAGAGAGAUGAAAAUUGUGUGAGAGUGUGUGCCUUCUCCCCCAAUUUUCCAGUGAACUUCCCCUUUUAAUGUAUUGUCCGUAUGUAUAUAUUAGGAUGGGUUAGUAGGGUAGGGUAGUGCGGUAUGGGUAGGGGUAGGGUAUUGGGUGAGGGGUGAGGUGUCCGAUAUUUAAUUGGAGAGGUUGUUAGGAUAGGAUCAAAACAAGAUAAAAUUUGUUAAGGGUUGUUAUUUUUGUCAUUUUAUGGAUGGAUAAUUACAUGGAUGAGAUAAGGUAAAAAUGGGUAAAACGAUAUUGGGGAGGGACGAAAUUACAUGUCUACAAGUAAGGCGUGUACUGAUCUAUCGUGAUUUAUGGCUGGUAAAACGUGGCUUAUAUGGAAAACUACAACACAUAGGAAUGUCCUCAAGCAUGGCGUACAUUCUAAUAUAGACUAAACACUGAGUUAAAUGCUCAUUAUCGAACAUAUUAUUAAGUUGUUGAAGAAAAAUGUAUUGUCCCGGCAUGUUUUCUGAUCCCAUUAAUCUUAACGGAAAAGCGCAGAAGACACAACACGAUAUUUACCAUGAUUAAUCAUUAGUCGAUGUAAAAAUGCAUAUCACGUAAUAAUUAUUUAAUAAAAAAUUAUGCAUAAUUAACAAUUUUUAUAGGAAAAAUGGGUAAAUAUACCCAUCAAUUUUGUGAUUUAGAGUGAAUAUAUUCCUCAUUAAAAAAAGUUAUGCAUAUAUAUGCCAUCGUCUAACAAAUUGUGCAUAUUUACCAUUUUUGUUGAAAGACCUAUAUUUACUGAAUUAGAAAAUAAUCUAAAACUGACUUUUUUUUAAUUCCAAGAAUAUCAUGCAGCUUUACAAAAAUUACCUCACAUUUUACCUCUCCAGACCCUAUCCAAUUGAAAAAAUCCUAUACAUCUACACAAUCAAUAAAUGAAAUUGUGUCAGGUCUGAAUAAAAGGCGAAUUGAUUUUUUUUUAGUUAAGUUGGGUCUCGAGAGGUAAAUAAAAGGGCAAAAUUCAGAGACAACAUACUUAUCCCCUUAAUUAUGAGUUUCAUAGCAACAGUUUCAUAAUUACAUCAUAUAGCAAGUUCUAUUUUGUAUUUUUGCAAACUGUUGCUACAAAAAUACAAAUACAUAUGAUUUUUACUCCCCUUAUGAUCUAUUGUAUUUUGUAUUUUUGUAAACUGUUUCUACAAAAAUACAAAUACAUAUUCUACAAAAUUUAAUCUGAUAAAAGUGUUAUUAUUUUUUGUAAUUUAAUACUUAAGUAUGCUACUUUAUGUAUUAUUUCCUAAAUAAAAUGGGUGAGAUAAUUUUUAAAGACAUGUCUUAUUAUUUGAAAUAUGAAUUUAAAUCACUAUUGACUGUUUCUCCUAGUAAGACCGGCUUUGUUAUUGUUGAAAGUUUUUUGACGCUCACAUCGAAGAAAAAAGAAUCAUUUAGCAUUUAUAGUCUCCGUUAAGAUUUGAACAUUUGGUUAUGUAACUUUUCAUUCAACUUCAUUGAUUCCAUCCUCAGUUAAUUCACAAUAACCUAAUCAUAAGUUGAUAUAAAUGGGUUAUAAAUUCUAGCAAAAGAAGGAACAUCUCAUCAUCUUCCAUUCAUUCCAAAGUAAGUAAAAGUUCUUUCUUUCUUUCUUUCUUUCUUUCUCUCUUUAUUUCUUUAUCGGUUCCAACAUUUACAAAGAUCCAAAUGCUACCUGCGGAAAAACUAGAUCUAGAGAAUAAUGCAGUAACGUAAUGCUGUGAAACUGAGGUUUUUGACUUAUCAAGAAAACAUCCAGUAUUGACAUGACUUAAUAAAUAUUUAAUAACAUAAUUUACAUUUAUUAUAAAAUAUGUAUAGGAGGUCUUAUUUAAUGUUUCUUUUUGUUGUUUCUUUUUACUUGUCACGGUUUUCUUUUUGAGAGUCAGAUGAUAUAAUUUUUUAUCAAUGUUUUAAGAUAUACUUCAUCGUAUUGAUAUGAGAAAAAGUGCAAUUUAUAGUUAAUUUUUGAAUAUCUAAAUUUAAUUUUAAAAUUUUGUGUUAAUAUAAAAUGAUUUAGCUUUGAAAACUGGGACAAGACACAAGUAUCUUUCAAACUAUACCUGAAAUUCAAGUGACAUACCUAAACUGUACAGGUCGUACUACCCCCUAAGCUCAUUUUUCUAUUUUUUUUGUUCCUUUUGUCCUGGCGUAGCUGCCAACUAGAAAAAUAUUUUAUGUUCAUUUUGUGUUUGACUUGACAACCCGAGAGCACAAAGCGAGUACAAAAAUAUAAUUAAAUGAGUUUAGGGGGUAAUAGGAUCCUCGUAAAGUUUAGGUGUGUCACUAGGAUUUCAACUAUAGUUUUUUUUAGGAGAGAGGGGAAGGGAUAUUUGUGCCUUAUCUUUUGAAAAUUAGUCAACUUGACUUUCAAAAAAUGAAACGAGUAUUAAGAUAGGAAUGAGUUUAUAUCAUCGUUGACCAUUUCUCCUUGUAAGACUAAUUUUGAUAACGCUGACGUUAUUUCAAAUUCACUGUUUAGAUCCUUAAUUACUUCUCUAUAAUCCAUUCAUUAAUUGACAUUAUAGAAUAAUAAUCUGAAGUGAAGUACAGUAUUUUAGUUAGGCAUAAUACAUAAACAAGAUCUUUAACUUGUCACCAAAUUAUAACUAUGUCCUUUAACUUUGUCAGUGAACAAAUAGACCCUUUAACUAUAUAAAAGUUGAACGAAAAAAAACUCCAAUUCUGAAACUUACAUGCCUGAAGCUCAAUCGCUCCAAUGUGGAUUAGUGAUCUACUUAGAUGCUGCCAUCUAAUAAAAGAGACACAUUGUAACUAUGACCUUCAACUUGUCAGUACACAAGUAGGCCUUUUAACUAUACAAAAGCUAAACAAAAAAACACUUCAAUUUUAACUCUGACGCGCGUGGUUUUGAAUGUAUAAAUGCAGUUUUCCAGGUAGGAUUGGUGUGAUUUUUUGUUCAGAUUUUGUAAAGGGUACUUGUGCACUGGUAAAGUCAGGUAUGGA
rnacentral:lncRNA from 1 species